CGUAAUAAUAGAAACUAACCAGGAUUCCCUUAGUAACGGCGAGUGAACUGGGAUGCCAAUAUAAAAUAUGCACCUCGCGUGCAUAAAUUAGCCCGUCGAUACUAUCCUAGCGUAUGUACCGGUCUUUGGGUCGGUACUCAAAUACGCGGGAAUUGUAGCAUCGUAAUAAAAUAUACAGCACGCACACACACACUGCCAACAUGCGUACCACUUGUAAACACACAGCGUCUCCGCGUUGGAAAAGCAAGUUUAUAUCCUCUUUGGAUAUGCCAUAGAGUGUGACAGCCACGUUUCACCCUUAGUACGCACACACACAUACACACGGCUCGUGUGAGUGCAAUAUCGUAUAUAUUCUAUAACCUGAGUCGAGUUAUUU
rnacentral:rRNA from 1 species